GCAGGUAUUCACCAUAAAGGAAGGGGUGCAGUAUAGAAUAAGGAUUGACUUCUACGUGCAGCGCGAGAUCGUCCAUGGACUCAAGUACGUUCAGAAGACCUACAGGCUCGGAGUACCAGUGCCCGUGGACAAAAUGACCCACAUGGUAGGCUCCUACCCCCCGAAAACCGAGAUCCAGUCCUACACUACACCACCUGAAGACGCUCCCUCCGGCAUGAUGGCCCGAGG